rnacentral:rRNA from 1 species
UGGCAACAACAUCUCGAAAGGAAAUGCUAAUAUCGCAUACGUCNUAUGGNNNAGAAAGCAGCGGAUGUUCGGACCNUGCGCUAAUAGAUGAGCCUAAGUCGGAUUAGCUAGUUGGUGGGGUAAAGGCCUACCAAGGCGACGAUCUGUAGCGGGUCUGAGAGGAUGAUCCGCCACACUGGGACUGAGACACGGCCCAGACUCCUACGGGAGGCAGCAGUGGGGAAUAUUGGACAAUGGGGGGAACCCUGAUCCAGCCAUGCCGCGUGUGUGAAGAAGGCCUUAUGGUUGUAAAGCACUUUAAGCGAGGAGGAGGCUACUUUAGUUAAUACCUAGAGAUAGUGGACGUUACUCGCAGAAUAAGCACCGGCUAACUCUGUGCCAGCAGCCGCGGUAAUACAGAGGGUGCGAGCGUUAAUCGGAUUUACUGGGCGUAAAGCGUGCGUAGGCGGCUUAUUAAGUCGGAUGUGAAAUCCCCGAGCUUAACUUGGGAAUUGCAUUCGAUACUGGUGAGCUAGAGUAUGGGAGAGGAUGGUAGAAUUCCAGGUGUAGCGGUGAAAUGCGUAGAGAUCUGGAGGGAUACCAAUGGCGAAGGCAGCCAUCUGGCCUAAUAGUCAAGGUGAGGUACGAAAAGCAUGGGGAGGAAACAGGAUUAGAAACCCUGGUGGUNNAUGCCUUNAU